AGGACGAACGCCGGCGGCGUGCUUAACACAUGCAAGUCGAGCGAUGAAGCUCCUUCGGGAGUGGAUUAGCGGCGGACGGGUGAGUAACACGUGGGUAACCUGCCUCAGUAGAGGGGAAUAGCCUUUCGAAAGGAAGAUUAAUACCGCAUAAGAUUGUAGUACCGCAUGGUACAGCAAUUAAAGGAGUAAUCCGCUAUGAGAUGGACCCGCGUCGCAUUAGCUAGUUGGUGAGGUAACGGCUCACCAAGGCGACGAUGCGUAGCCGACCUGAGAGGGUGAUCGGCCACAUUGGGACUGAGACACGGCCCAGACUCCUACGGGAGGCAGCAGUGGGGAAUAUUGCACAAUGGGGGGAAACCCUGAUGCAAGCAACGCCGCGUGAGUGAUGACGGUCUUCGGAUUGUAAAGCUCUGUCUUUAGGGACGAUAAUGACGGUACCUAAGGAGGAAGCCACGGCUAACUACGUGCCAGCAGCCGC
rnacentral:rRNA from 1 species